rnacentral:rRNA from 1 species
GACAGAGGUGCCAAGCGUUAGGCGGAAUCACUGGGCUUAAAGCGUGUGUAGGCGGACGCGUAAGUGCCUUGUGAAAUCCCACGGCUCAGCCGUGGAACUGCUGGGCAUACUGCGUUUCUUGAGCCAGCCAGGGGUCGUCGGAACAAACGGUGGAGCGGUGAAAUGCGUAGAUAUCGUUUGGAACGCCAAAGGCGAAAGCAGACGACUGGGGCUGAGCUGACGCUGAGACACGAAAGCCAGGGGAGCAAACGGG